rnacentral:rRNA from 1 species
GACGAACGCUGGCGGCGUGCUUAACACAUGCAAGUCGAACGGAAAGGCCCUGCUUGCAGGGUACUCGAGUGGCGAACGGGUGAGUAACACGUGGGUGAUCUGCCCUGCACUUCGGGAUAAGCCUUGGAAACUGGGUCUAAUACCGGAUAGGAGCCAUUUUUAGUGUGAUGGUUGGAAAGUUUUUUCGGUGUAGGAUGAGCUCGCGGCCUAUCAGCUUGUUGGUGGGGUAAUGGCCUACCAAGGCGGCGACGGGUAGCCGGCCUGAGAGGGUGGACGGCCACAUUGGAACUGGGAAACGGCCCAGACUCCUACGGGAGGCAGCAGUGGGGAAUAUUGCACAAUGGGCGAAAGCCUGAUGCAGCGACGCCGCGUGGGGGAUGACGGCCUUCGGGUUGUAAACUCCUUUCGCUAGGGACGAAGCUUUUUGUGACGGUACCUAGAUAAGAAGCACCGGCUAACUACGUG